rnacentral:rRNA from 1 species
ACAGAGGGUGCGAGCGUUAAUCGGAAUUACUGGGCGUAAAGCGCACGUAGGUGGCUUUGCAAGUCGAUUGUGAAAUCCCCGGGCUCAACCUGGGAACUGCAGUCGAGACUGCUCUGCUUGAAUAUGGGAGAGGGAGGUGGAAUUUCCGGUGUAGUGGUGAAAUGCGUAGAGAUCGGCAGGAACACCCAGGGGGAAACCAGCCGACUGGGCAAGUGCUGACGCUGAGGUGCGAGAGCGUGGGGAGCGAACCGGA